UCUUGAUCUUUGAUUCAUGAUCAUUCUGGCAUAGAUCGAGAUGCGAUCUUGAUCGGAUCACAUGCCGGAUCAAAUUUUUGAAUUCUGCUGCACCUUGAUUUAGUUGAUUGGGCAUGUGAUCUUUCCUUCAGCUGGUAUCAGAGCCAGGUUGUAGGUUUCAUGUAUUUAAGAUCAAGAUCAGAUCUAAAUCAGAUUUGAUCUAAAGUAGUGUUUAGAUUUGAAAUUAAAUU
rnacentral:lncRNA from 1 species